GGCCUCGUAGCUCGGCUGGUAGAGCAUGUGCAUACAAAGCGUAGGCAGCAUCCAUGCGUGGGUUCGAAUCCCAUCGAGGCUA
rfam:Echinostoma caproni strain Egypt genome assembly, scaffold: ECPE_scaffold0001206